GGGACUGUGGCUUAGUGGUAGAGUUUUUGCCUUGCAUGUACAAGGUCCUGGGUUCAAUCCCCAGCACCA
rnacentral:tRNA from 1 species